rnacentral:rRNA from 1 species
UACGAGCGGUCCAAGCGUUAGUCGGAAUCACUGGGCUUAAAGGGUGCGUAGGCGGAUCGGUAAGUGUCUUGUGAAAGCCCCUGGCUCAACCAGGGAACUGCAUGGCAUACUGCCGAUCUUGAGGAAGGUAGAGGCGGGCGGAACGAUAGGUGGAGCGGUGGAAUGCGUAGAGAUCUAUCGGAACGCCAAGGGUGAAGACAGCCCGCUGGGCCUUUCCUGACGCUGAGGCACGAAAGCGUGGGGAGCAAACAGG